CGGCGGACGGGUGAGUAACACGUGGAUAACCUACCUAUAAGACUGGGAUAACUUCGGGAAACCGGAGCUAAUACCGGAUAAUAUAUUGAACCGCAUGGUUCAAUAGUGAAAGACGGUUUUGCUGUCACUUAUAGAUGGAUCCGCGCCGCAUUAGCUAGUUGGUAAGGUAACGGCUUACCAAGGCAACGAUGCGUAGCCGACCUGAGAGGGUGAUCGGCCACACUGGAACUGAGACACGGUCCAGACUCCUACGGGAGGCAGCAGUAGGGAAUCUUCCGCAAUGGGCGAAAGCCUGACGGAGCAACGCCGCGUGAGUGAUGAAGGUCUUCGGAUCGUAAAACUCUGUUAUUAGGGAAGAACAAAUGUGUAAGUAACUAUGCACGUCUUGACGGUACCUAAUCAGAAAGCCACGGCUAACUACGUGCCAGCAGCCGCGGUAAUACGUAGGUGGCAAGCGUUAUCCGGAAUUAUUGGGCGUAAAGCGCGCGUAGGCGGUUUUUUAAGUCUGAUGUGAAAGCCCACGGCUCAACCGUGGAGGGUCAUUGGAAACUGGAAAACUUGAGUGCAGAAGAGGAAAGUGGAAUUCCAUGUGUAGCGGUGAAAUGCGCAGAGAUAUGGAGGAACACCAGUGGCGAAGGCGACUUUCUGGUCUGUAACUGACGCUGAUGUGCGAAAGCGUGGGGAUCAAACAGGAUUAGAUANCCUGGUAGUCCACGCCGUAAACGAUGAGUGCUAAGUGUUAGGGGGUUUCCGCCCCUUAGUGCUGCA
rnacentral:rRNA from 1 species